UACGAAGGGGGCUAGCGUUGUUCGGAAUCACUGGGCGUAAAGCGCACGUAGGCGGAUCUUUAAGUCAGGGGUGAAAUCCCGAGGCUCAACCUCGGAACUGCCUUUGAUACUGGGGAUCUCGAGUCCGGGAGAGGUGAGUGGAACUGCGAGUGUAGAGGUGAAAAUUCGUAGAUAUUCGCAAGAACACCAGUGGCGAAGGCGGCUCACUGGCCCGGAACUGACGCUGAGGUGCGAAAGCGUGGGGAGCAAACAGGG
rnacentral:rRNA from 1 species